CUCAGGGGAAGGCUGUCGAAGAAACAAAGAAAACAGAAUCAAUCCGAAAGCGGUCGAUCGGCGAACCAUGAAACGCAGCCACUAUUUUAUCGUGGCGUUUAACACGAUCCAUUAUGUAUCUUGUGGAGAGAGGGCGGGCAGAGGUGAACAGCCUCCGUUGUGGUAGCCGGUUGAUUCCUCGCUUAAGCAGAUAUGAUUGAGGACCGCCAUAGAGACGAUCAAUGAGCAACUAAGUAUAGUCAGCUGGUGAAGGCGAACGUUCAAUCAGACCACGGUGUACACGGCCUCCUACACCGAAACCACUUUAAUUCGAUUGAAUCUGCACCAAUUGCAUACCGAUCAACGACGACAAAGCGUUAAUAAAAUAUUAGGCAUUAAAGCUAAAAUGUUACGGCUAUGAUACCUGUGGAACAAUUACGCCCGAAUCCGAGCAAUGCCAGGAAUCUCUUUCAUCGUCCCGGUUUGCGACGACGUGGAGGAAUUAAAGAGCACGUUUGAUUCCCGUUCACCUACGCGAGUUGGCCGUGUUACGUAAGCUCGUUGCACAGAGAGAGGAGACAAAUACCAUAAGUCAGCGUUACCAUAGCGCAAACACACCGCUAAUGGCAUGCCGAGAUGGUGGGUGGUGGAAGGUUUUUCGGCUCUUUGCAAACCUGUCGGCGGCGGCACCAAAGGGCACCGGAAGACGCGGGAAGCAACGCGUGGGUGGACAUGUGAAAAGAGAUCGGCCGAGUCACGGAACUUCAUGACCCAUUUGGAGAUCCCGUCUUAUUUGUUUUGUUUUUUCUUUUUCUUUUUUUUGGUUUUU